ACUCCAUCUAUUAUGACUGUGCUUGGCGGUGGCUUAUUUUACAUGAUUGUUAUAGCAAUUGCUAACUGAUACACAUCUGUUGUAAUGCAUUGGAGAAAGAAUUCAAUAAUAUGAGGAUCCUUCCACACUCAAACGUGUUGGCAAAGCUCUCACAGAUGUUGGAUAUAUCUGCUGAGAAAGUUUCAUUCUGGGCCAUAUUGUCAUCUAUCUGCAAGCCAUCACAAUUAAGUUUCUGCUCCUUAAAAUUAAAACAAGAACUUUUGUUUUCAAAGCCCACAAAAAGAAGAGAAGUUUGGACACACAUAGAGACACCAGGGAUGUUCAUGUACAGAGGACAGACCAUGUGAGGACAAAGCGAGAAAGCUGACCAUUUUCAAACCAAGGAGAGAGGACUGGGAAGAAAACAAACCUACUGACACCUUGAUCUUGAACCUCUUCCCGUCCAUUCAAGUGGUUACAGUGAGAGUUGCCAUAUUAUUGUUACACAGUUUUAUUUUCCAUUGUCACCAUUGGUUGGACCAGAGAUGAGACUUUGACCCAUUUGGGCUAUUGAGUUCCUUCGCUGGGAAUAUAGACCAGGAAUCCACUGACUGAAGAAGUUAUCAGACCUCCAGGGGGAAGUAUGCUGCAACACAAUUCAAAUACCUGCUAUACUUAUUCCUCCAGUUCUUCAGUAUUACCUGUGGCCAUGGACUCACACAGUGACA